rnacentral:rRNA from 1 species
CCUACGGGGGGCGGCAGGAGGGAAUAUUGGUUAAUGUGCGAAAGCGCGAACCAGCAACGCCGCGUGUACGAAGAAGGCCUUCGGGUUGUAAAGUACUUUUCACCGGGAAGAGGAAGGACGGUACCGGUGGAAUAAGUCUCGGCUAACUACGUGCCAGCAGCCCCGGUC